rnacentral:rRNA from 1 species
GCACUUUGGAAAGAGAGUUAAACAGUACGUGAAAUUGUUGAAAGGGAAACGAUUGAAGUCAGUCGCGUCUCUCAGAGACUCAGCCUCGCUUCUGCUUGGUGCACUUCUCGAGAUGACGGGCCAGCAUCAAUUUCGAUCGAUAGAGAAAGGCGGGGGGAAUGUGGCACCUUCGGGUGUGUUAUAGCCCUUUGUCGUAUGUAUCGGUCGGGAUUGAGGAUCGCAGCACGCCUUCAUGGCCGGGGUUCGCCCACGUAACGUGCUUAGGAUGCUGGCGUAAUGGCUUUAAACGACCCGUCUU